UACGUAGGGGGCAAGCGUUGUCCGGAUUCAUUGGGCGUAAAGAGCUCGUAGGCGGCUUGGCAAGUCGGGUGUGAAACCUCCAGGCUCAACCUGGAGACGCCACCCGAUACUGCCAUGGCUAGAGUCCGGUAGGGGACCACGGAAUUCCUGGUGUAGCGGUGAAAUGCGCAGAUAUCAGGAGGAACACCGGUGGCGAAGGCGGCGCCUGGCUCGCACCUGACGCUCAGACACGACAGCAUGGGGAGCGAACGGGG
rnacentral:rRNA from 1 species